GCAAACGCACAACAGUGCGUUGAAUGUUUUCCCCUCUAUUAUCAAUCUCACUGCACUGGACUAGACUCUGGACAGCCUUUGGGUGUGUUGGCUUCCAGUACAGUGAGGAAUUUCUACUACACUAAACAGCCUUAAGCUGACUGGUGCUAAAAGCUUCAGUAAAAAUUUAGCAACUUCAGUUGCUUUUUCUUUUCCUCUUUUACCCAUCUAUUCUUCAGUUGCAUUCUUCAGGCUUUUCUGAUGUUUGGUUACCCUUCUUCUCCUCUUUCCCCUUCCCUUUCCCCUUCCCCUUGGGUUGCAAAUCAGUUUGGUCAAUGACCUCUUCCGGUUCCUCCUUCAUCCAGGUAAGGCUCCUUCUCCUUCUUCCGUUCUUCAUUCCUUUUUUAGAUCGUUGAAAUCAAGGAGAAAUCCGAAGACCUACAUGCUCUAAUCAGGAUUGGCUUACUCUGUUUGGUGCAAUUACAGCUUGGAUCAAAAUACAAGGUGCAAAUUGAGCUCUCAUUAGGGCAAGCUUGAAGACAGAAAAUAGAACAUAUAAUUGUAUAGGGACUGUUUUGGCUAAGAAUGGUUGCUGGUCAUUUCUCAAAGGUGGAUUUGUUCUUGAUUCACCUUCAAAUUUAGCUUUACUGCUAUUCCAGAACUCAGAUGAUAAAGACAUUGAUAUAACAAUUGAUAGUUCCUCAUUACAGCCAUUUAUAGAUCAAGAAUAGAGGUUUAACCAGCAAUUCAUGAUUAACACU